rnacentral:rRNA from 1 species
UACGGGGGGGAGCAAGCGUUGUUCGGAUUUACUGGGCGUAAAGAGCUUGUAGGCGGUCUGUCGCGUCUGCUGUGAAAAUCCGGGGCUCAACCCCGGACCUGCAGUGGGUACGGGGCAGACUAGAGUGUGGUAGGGGAGACUGGAAUUCCUGGUGUAGCGGUGAAAUGCGCAGAUAUCAGGAGGAACACCGAUGGCGAAGGCAGGUCUCUGGGCCAUAAACUGACGCUGAGAAGCGAAAGCAUGGGGAGCGAACAGGAUUAGAUACCCCCAG